rnacentral:tRNA from 1 species
AGUUAAUGAACUUGUUUAAGUAUAUAUUUUGAAAAUAUAAAAAAGAAGUAAAAAUCUUCUAUUAACUU